UGGGAUUAGAUACCCCACUAUGUUUAGCCCUAAACCUAGGUGUUUAACUACCCAAACACCCGCCAGAGAACUACAAGCGCCAGCUUGAAACCCAAAGGACUUGGCGGUGCCUUAGAUCCCCCUAGAGGAGCCUGUUCUAGAACCGAUAAUCCCCGUUUAACCUCACCACCCCUUGCUCUUUCAGCCUAUAUACCGCCGUCGCCAGCUUACCCCAUGAGGGAUAAACAGCAAGCACAAAGGAUUAAACUCCAAAACGUCAGGUCGAGGUGUAGCAUACGGGAUGGGAAGAAAUGAGCUACAUUUUCUAUCAAGACUAACAGAUAAAUAAUGAAAUUAAACUUGAAGUUGGAUUUAGUAGUAAGAUAUAAAUAGUAUAUUAAUCUGAAAAUGGCUCUGAGGCGCGCACACACCGCCCGUCA
rnacentral:rRNA from 1 species